CUCCAAAUUUUGCUGAAAUGCAACUCUCAUCAACCCCAGCUAGCAAGGACAACCGUCAGGGAUGAUGGGAAUUGCAGUUCAGCAACACCUAGAG